GAUGAACGCUGGCGGCGUGCUUAACACAUGCAAGUCGAACGGAGAAAGGGUAGCUUGCUAUCUUUUCUUAGUGGCGGACGGGUGAGUAACGCGUGGGUAACCUACCCUUUGCAGGGGGACAACAGUGAGAAAUCGCUGCUAAUACCGCAUAACAACUUCUUUCGCAUGAAAGGAGUUUAAAAGAUUUAUCGGCAAAGGAUGGACCCGCGUUGGAUUAGCUAGUUGGUGAGAUAACAGCCCACCAAGGCAACGAUCCAUAGCCGGCCUGAGAGGGUGAACGGCCACACUGGGACUGAGACACGGCCCAGACUCCUACGGGAGGCAGCAGUGGGGAAUAUUGCACAAUGGGCGAAAGCCUGAUGCAGCGACGCCGCGUGAAGGAUGAAGGUCUUCGGAUUGUAAACUUCUAUCAGCAGGGAAGAAAGGGCUUAUGGCCUAUGACGGUACCUGACUAAGAAGCCCCGGCUAACUACGUGCCAGCAGCCGGAACGUAACGUCGUCU
rnacentral:rRNA from 1 species